ACCGUACUCCUACGGGAGGCAGCAGUGGGGAAUAUUGCACAAUGGGCGCAAGCCUGAUGCAGCGACGCCGCGUGGGGGAUGACGGCCUUCGGGUUGUAAACUCCUUUCGCUAGGGACGAAGCUUUUGUGACGGUACCUAGAUAAGAAGCACCGGCUAACUACGUGCCAGCAGCCGCGGUAAUACGGAGGGUGCGAGCGUUGCCCGGAAUUACUGGGCGUAAAGGGCUCGUAGGUGGUUUGUCGCGUCGUCUGUGAAAUUCCGGGGCUUAACUCCGGGCGUGCAGGCGAUACGGGCAUAACUUGAGUACUGUAGGGGUAACUGGAAUUCCUGGUGUAGCGGUGAAAUGCGCAGAUAUCAGGAGGAAUACCGAUGGCGAAGGCAGGUUACUGGGCAGUUACUGACGCUGAGGAGCGAAAGCAUGGGUAGCGAACAGGAUUAGAAACCCGGGUAGUCCUUGAC
rnacentral:rRNA from 1 species